UGAACUUGAUAAGCCGUUUUGUGAGAUACUUCAGUGAAAAUGAGUCUACAGACGUAAUACGAAAAUGAACAACAUUACGUGGUGUUUUUUUGGUGCAAAAGUGGUGGUGACGACGAUUCAUGGUCACGUCAUUGGCUAGAAGUGAGAUCAUAAACCAUGGGGACUUGUGAUGUGUCCUCUUGAGAUCCAAACUGCCGCAAACGGUAGCAGUUUCAUUCCGGGUCGAUGCCGGAGAUUACGUACUAACGUUGCCACGUUCAGAUGUUCACUCGGUGGCCAAUUUUCGAGGUUGGAAUCGUCAGGAGAGGGUGAAUUGCCGGCUGGAGGAUUUUCCCGAUCGUGUUGUCUGGAGGGAGAGGCAGCCAGCAUUAACAAAGGUACGGAGCAGCCACUGGAGGGGCCUCCACCGAGCUGUAAACGUUCAACCGAGGCCGACUCGGUCCAGCCAUUACGAGACAAACGAUCCGCCUCGAGGAAGCCAACGAUUCCCCCACGUAUUUCCAGUAAAGUUGGAGGAUCCUCGAGAGUUUGAGGCCAGAGUGCGGAACUCACCGAAGACAGUGGUGAUAUCUAUGACGGUGAGGGGGGCUGAGCAGUUUGGCGUAGCAUUUUCGUUGAGGCCAACUUAAUUUCAACUCCCCCGGAGGGUAUUCAACGAAGAACAAGAAUUUUCACAUGCCACUACGACGUACCACCUAUGCGAAUCUCAUUCUUAUUAAAUCGUGACGGGAGUGAAUUAAAGCCCGUUCCCCAGGAUCUGAUGGCCUCAACAACUGGUGUGUUAUUGAGGCUCCGAGUGAGUACAAUCUCCCUUACACGCCCAACAUACGUCUCCUGGGGGAAUGUCUACUGAUGCGAGAACCAUGAGGAGUCGAGAAAAAUUGGCAAAAGUUUGUUGACAUCCAGCCAAAUGUUUUCUCUCAUUUCGGGGUAUAAAGAA